rnacentral:rRNA from 1 species
AGUGAACGCUGGCGGUAGGCCUAACACAUGCAAGUCGAACGGCAGCACAGUAAGAGCUUGCUCUUACGGGUGGCGAGUGGCGGACGGGUGAGGAAUACAUCGGAAUCUACUUUUUCGUGGGGGAUAACGUAGGGAAACUUACGCUAAUACCGCAUACGACCUACGGGUGAAAGCAGGGGAUCUUCGGACCUUGCGCGAUUGUAUGAGCCGAUGUCGGAUUAGCUAGUCGGCGGGGUAAAGGCCCACCAAGGCGACGAUCCGUAGCUGGUCUGAGAGGAUGAUCAGCCACACUGGAACUGAGACACGGUCCAGACUCCUACGGGAGGCAGCAGUGGGGAAUAUUGGGCAAUGGGCGCAAGCCUGAUCCAGCCAUGCCGCGUGGGUGAAGAAGGCCUUCGGGUUGUAAAGCCCUGUUAUUGGGAAAGAAAAGCAGCAGGUUAAUACCCCGCUGUUCUGACGGUACCCAAAGAAUAAGCACCGGCUAACUUCGUG